rnacentral:rRNA from 1 species
GACAGAGGGGGCAAGCGUUGCUCGGAAUCACUGGGCGUAAAGGGCGCGUAGGCGGGAUGGCAAGUCAGUCGUGAAAUCUCUCGGCUCAACCGAGAAACGUCGGCUGAUACUGCCGUUCUUGAGGGAUGCAGAGGAGACUGGAAUUCCCGGUGUAGCGGUGAAAUGUGUAGAGAUCGGGAGGAACACCGGUGGCGAAGGCGGGUCUCUGGGCAUCUCCUGACGCUGAUGCGCGAAAGCGUGGGGAGCAAACGGG